AGUUGAUCAGAAACUGGACAGCACACAGCAUGGAGCCCUGUCCUCUGGGCCUGCUGCUGCUCGUGUUGAUCUUGUGUUCCUACUCUGGAUAUGCUGCAGAUGCCCCUAUAGCUACAGUAACUAUAGUGUCUCCCCAGCGUCCUCUCUAUCCUGGAGAGACAGUCACUCUAAGGUGUGAUAUUUU